AUUGAACGCUGGCGGCAGGCCUAACACAUGCAAGUCGAGCGGCAGCGGAAAGUAGCUUGCUACUUUGCCGGCGAGCGGCGGACGGGUGAGUAAUGUCUGGGAAACUGCCUGAUGGAGGGGGAUAACUACUGGAAACGGUAGCUAAUACCGCAUGACCUCGAAAGAGCAAAGUGGGGGAUCUUCGGACCUCACGCCAUCGGAUGUGCCCAGAUGGGAUUAGCUAGUAGGUGAGGUAAUGGCUCACCUAGGCGACGAUCCCUAGCUGGUCUGAGAGGAUGACCAGCCACACUGGAACUGAGACACGGUCCAGACUCCUACGGGAGGCAGCAGUGGGGAAUAUUGCACAAUGGGCGCAAGCCUGAUGCAGCCAUGCCGCGUGUGUGAAGAAGGCCUUAGGGUUGUAAAGCACUUUCAGCGAGGAGGAAGGCAUCAUACUUAAUACGUGUGGUGAUUGACGUUACUCGCAGAAGAAGCACCGGCUAACUCCGUGCCAGCAGCCGCGGUAAUACGGAGGGUGCAAGCGUUAAUCGGAAUUACUGGGCGUAAAGCGCACGCAGGCGGUUUGUUAAGUCAGAUGUGGAAUCCCCGCGCUUAACGUGGGAACUGCAUUUGAAACUGGCAAGCUAGAGUCUUGUAGAGGGGGGUAGAAUUCCAGGUGUAGCGGUGAAAUGCGUAGAGAUCUGGAGGAAUACCGGUGGCGAAGGCGGCCCCCUGGACAAAGACUGACGCUCAGGUGCGAAAGCGUGGGGAGCAAACAGG
rnacentral:rRNA from 1 species